rnacentral:rRNA from 1 species
AUUGAACGCUGGCGGCAGGCCUAACACAUGCAAGUCGAGCGGAGCGGCGGACGGGUGAGUAAUGCCUAGGAAUCUGCCUGGUAGUGGGGGAUAACGUCCGGUAACGGGCGCUAAUACCGCAUACUCUCAGAUGAGCCUAUGUCGGAUUAGCUAGUUGGUGGGGUAAAGGCCUACCAAGGCGACGACCCGUCACUGGUCUGAGAGGAUGAUCAGGCACACUGGGACUGAGACAAGGCCCAGACUCCUACGGGAGGCAGCAGUGGGGAAUAUUGGACAAUGGGCGAAAGCCUGAUCCAGCCAUCCCGCGUGUGUGAUGAAGGUCUUCGGAUUGUAAAGCACUUUAGGCUGGGAAGCGGUACCAGCAGAAUAAGCACCGGCUAACUUCGUGCCAGCAGCCGCGGUAAUUC